rnacentral:rRNA from 1 species
UACGUAGGGGGCUAGCGUUGUCCGGAAUCAUUGGGCGUAAAGCGCGUGUAGGCGGUUCGGUAAGUCUGCUGUGAAAGUCCAGGGCUCAACCCUGGGAUGCCGGUGGAUACUGUCGGACUAGAGUACGGAAGAGGCGAGUGGAAUUCCCAGUGUAGAGGUGAAAUUCGUAGAUAUUGGGAAGAACACCAGUGGCGAAGGCGGCUAUCUGGACCGGAACUGACGCUGAGGCGCGAAAGCGUGGGGAGCAAACAGG